GGCCAGGUCACCUUGGGUUUCUCUAGCUGGGGCCGCCUUAAUCCACAUCACAAUGAGCCAUCCGCUCAUUCAACAAAUAUUUAAGUCUUUACGUAUGCCUGAUCCAAUAGUGAGUAAGAUGGAGUUUCUUUCCGAAGGACUUCACACUCUGGAGGAAGACAGUCACUGAAACAUGUAAUUAAGAAUGUUAUGAGUGUUCUAAAACGGUUUGGAGGGGUGGCGUGAGGCAUUUGACAAGCACAGGGGAGUAAACCAGGAUGUGCACGCUCGGGCGGAGGGCAUCCGAGGCUGAAGGCACGGCAUGGGCGAAGGUUCAGGCAGGGGCUUGAAAGCACACGGAUUAAGGCAAUAAACAGCCAGGAGCAGUUUGGCUGGACCAUAACAUGGGUGGCAGAGGGGACAGAAGCGCAAUUUGGGGCCAAGCGGUGAAAGGUCCAGAUGCCAGGCUGAGUUGGACUUUCUCCUUCAAGCAGUGGGAAGAUAUUCAAAGUUGAAGCACGGAGGGGGACGUGGUCAGAUCUGCAUCUGAGAGAGACCUCUGGAAUACACUCCACUGGGAGAGACCAGCUUUGUUUCUGCUCACUGCUUGUAGCCGCCGGUAUCAAGGGGAGGCUGGGUUAUGCCGCGGUGAGCAAUCACCCCAGGCCCAGUGCCCUGAAACACCGGAAGUUCACCCCUUUCCCAAACUACACAUUCAUCACGGGCCACCACGGGGCUCUCCCGUCUGGACGCCCCGGGACGCGCGCUGGAGGAGCCGCGCCCGGCCCCGCGUCGCCGGCUGCCGGGAGGGGAGCGCUCCGGGCGCCUCCGCGCGGCGGCGUCUGAAAGGGUCGCGCGCGCCCUCGCGCCGCGGGACCGGGCCGGGAAGCACCGUCCCGCCGUGUGCCGAGAAGGCUAAACUGGCACCGUCUGGUGAUGACUAGUUGUUAUUAACGCUUGGUAUUUUCUAAUUGAAGAAACGAAUCGAUUCCAGAGAGGAAGAGGUCAUCCGAUGAAGUCUCGUCUCGAGGAAACGGAGCCGAGCAGGCCGGGGCACGGGGACGCGCACUCAGCGGGCGAGCCGGGCGCACGACCGCGCUUCCGGUCCGGGCGGGCCCGCGCCCGGCGUCCGGCUUCCGGCCGCCACCUCGGCGUCCGGGGGCCGUGGCGAGGCGCUGGGCCCUGGAAGUUAGCGUCGGUCGCGCCGGGCGGCGGCCAGGCCCGACUCGGGGCAGCGUGCAGGCGCCCUCCACGCGUCCCCUCACUUCCUGAGGAAGAGCAGGACCACGCGCCUUCUAUGGCCAAGAGAAGGACGAGACUCCCUGGAACCCCGCUGUGCUGCGGAAGCUGGCGCAAGUCCCUGCCUCUCCCCGGCCCUCGGCCCUCAGCCCUCAGCUUCGCGGGCUGUAGGCGCCUCAAGCGGGCGGGGCGCGGCGCGCUGACGUCACGCCGUCCCGGCCUGCGCUGGCGCUGACGUCACCCCGCUGCGCGCUCGCCCCCUGCGUCUGCCGGUGUGGCAGAGGGCCUGGCGGGCGUGAGGCAGAGUGGCGUCGGCUUGUCCCCAUGGCCUUGGCCUCUUCAGAGGGGCGUGUGUGGGCCGAGGGGGCGCCCGGGCUGACGGUGGCGCUGCGGCCGCGUGCAGUGGGCGCCAGGUGCCCUCUAGUCCGAGCUGCUUUGAGGCGUUGUGUACGCGGGUUGCCUCUAGUCCUCUUUCCCACGCGCUCUGCAGUUCAUUCCACCUGUUAAAGAUUCGUUAGUUUUGAAAGGUAAAACCACACAAAUAUAUUUGAAUGCAAAUAUACAAAUAGAAGAGGAAAACGUGUGAGUUUAACUCCUGGAACCUGUAAGACUGUACAAAGCAUCCUGAGAACCACGUAAAUACUCUGAAGUGGUCUAGAGUGAAUUUACACCGCUCCUUCCUCUACUUCCAGUGGAUCAGAAGUUCUUCUCGCUCAGCCUCUAAGAUGGAGUCAGCUCUCCGUUUUCACAAACACCACCUGGGUCCUGUCGACGAAAAUAAUCCAUGAACAAUCUAUAAAUGAAAAUUCGGGGAAGGGCCUCCCUGGAAGAAGGCCAGACUCAGGAGCCAUGCCAUGCCCCCCGAUCAUCUGAAGCCCCAUCUAUGCCAUACCUUAAGGCCACAAGUCUCUCUCAGCCCUGAAGUCCUUGCUGCUCUUUCUACCAUCUGCUCUAUCCAGCCACUUUCAAGUCUAGACUACUUGGUUUGUGCUUUUCUUUCCAGGAUUGGUCCCUAGGCAGCCUCCUCGAUGCUUUGGGGCAGCAAGAGUGGUUCCCCAGUUCUGGGGCCUACCUACAAAAUUUCUGUGCAGGAUUCAGUGGUCCAGUACCUCUUCUCCAGCCUUCCUUGCACACACCAGGGGUUUCUGGGCCUCUGGGGACUCUUAGGAAAAUUUUGUCAUGUCUCUAGUGGUCAGGCAGCCACAAACACUUGCAGCUUCCAGGAUGACUUAGAAUAUGUUCUAGGGGCUCAGGCGGGACAAGAUAUCCUCCCUGAGCAUUUCCUGUAGAAAUUGUUGGUCUGGACAUCGGGAGGGAUACCUAGGAUGUGAGGUGAGGUUUGGGCGCUGUUUACAGCUCCAAAGCCCUGAGCAUGAUGCUCUGACCUCACAGCAUCUGUGAGACCUAAAAUUUGCUUUGUAGAGCCUUCUUUGGAUUAUACAAGCUCAAACUGGUUCUGAACUGAGGAGUACCCCUGGAAGGAACACAUUCAAGGUUGUCCUUCUAAUGUCUGGCUUGCUGACCUCUCCUUGAUGUGAACAACAUAAUAAUUUCAUGUAUGUAUACACUGUGAAAUAAUUGCCAUAAUUCAGUUAGGUUACACAUCCGUCACUUCAUAUAGUUACAGUUUAUUUUUGGUGUGAACUUUUAAGAGCUACUCUCUUAGCAACUUUCAAAUAUAUAAUACAGUAUAGUUAACUGUGGUCACCAUGUUGUACAUUACAUUCCCAGAACAUAUUCGUCUUAUUACUGGAAGAUUGUGCCCUUUGACCACGUUCAUCCAUUUGCCCCAGCCCCCCUCUGCCCAAAGCAAUGAUCACUUCACCUAAGUAGGUCUGGAGUCGGGGACCUUUUCCUCAUUCCCACAAAGGUGCUGUAUAGUCUAGUUGGGACCCUGAGACCACUGGAGAACACAUGUGAAGGCCACCAGGUAUCUCUUGAACCACUGGGAUGCACUGGGAAAUAUGACAUGGUGUUUACUCAUUUGAAAUUAGGAUUCUUUGGAGAUUUCUGUUCUGUUGAGAAGCUCUGAGAGUCUAUGACACAUUGGGGCAAGAUGACCUAGGAAAAUGGCCUUCUACGUGUUUGGAAUCCAGAUGUCACUCAUCUGUUGUUUUCCAGGAAUUAGGUAAUUUCAGUUUUCCCUUUGGUAUCUCUUUCUACCAAUUACAAAGCCAGCUCUCACACUGAUUCCAUAGAUGACAUGACAAUUAUGUGCCGUGAGGAACAUGAGAUGACAGCAUCCCUUCCCUGUAACCACAUUUUGUGGCCCCAUGUCACAUACAGCUUCACUCCAAAGCGCCAGCUGGUGUCUAUAUCUCAGCGUCAUUGACAGUGAAUGCUCAAGACUCUAGAUGGGUAGUUAGAUGAGACAGGAUUUCCUUAGUGCAAUGUUCAGUUCUCAUAAUUUUGGCCUUAAGCCUCAUUGAAUUAUAACUUCCAACAGUAGAUGUUUUCAGAUGAAAAAUAAAUGUCAUUAAUCUUAUGAGAACAUAAAUUUAUAGACUUUUUGAAGGAAUUUUUUUCUGUUCUAUGUGAAUUUGUAUUUUGACUUUUUCUAGUUUGAGUAAAUUAUCUCAACUACAAAUAGUUUAUUCAUUUAUGUGAAAUUUUGUUUUGUAAAACAUGAGUCUGAAUUAAUCAGAAUGAUUUAGUCAUAGUUCUUUGUUCUUUUAGAUUUGGAGAUAUUUUUGUAUGUUUCUAAUAUCUUAGGGCUGUUUAAAAUUAAGGUGUCAUAAGACAUGUGAUGUGUUCAACAUUUUACAAUAAUGAGAUUUUACCAAGUGACCAGAAAAAUCAUGUUGUUUCAUUCCAUUAUAGUAUUUGAUAACAGAGGGAUUUUUUUACUUGUUACCACAAACUAUCUGUAAAUAUCACCUUCUGAUGUUUAUUAAAUAUCUGUACAGUUAAUGACCACCUUAUAUGAAUGAGGGCAAAUAAUAUUCAGCAUGAUCUGAAAUAUUAACUUAAAAUAAUAAAUUUACUUUUAGUAUUUUAUGUUUUCUUAAUAAACUGAAACAUAAAAUAUACUCUAUAUUAGCUUGAGAUGUUUAGUAAUGACAAUAAUUUGCAAAAUUUAAGGACAUAGCAUUCUUAUAAAACAUACCUUCUAAUUUAGUAAUUCUGCCUUUUCCUUUGAAAGUUUCAAAUUUUAAUUUACUCAGAAAAACAUAUAUUCCCAAAAAGUGACAAGUAAAUUUCAAUUUAGUUGUUGAAACUCACAAGUCAACAUUGUCUAGAUUCAGUAGGGUUAGUGUCUUCUAGUGUCUUUAAAAUGGAAGACAGAGAGGAUAGAAUCAGGAUAGGUUGAAAACAGAAAAGAACAAAAUGAUGAGGACAGAAAUUGUCUAUCUGUCAUCCAUGAGGACACCAAAACCUCAGGAAACUUGAAAAGUGGAAAAAGCCUCUGAACAUUAGAGAAGUUUUAGUUUGUUGAAAUACACUUCAUGUUGAAAGUCCCUGCAUUUCAGGCAUGUAGGAGGGAGAAUGUCUGAGAGGCUGGCACUGACUGAUCUUGAAGAGAGCACCUGAUGCACAGAGGACAUGUCCUCCGUUUCCUUCCAAAUUCGAUAACUGAUGCAGUUGCUAUGAGUCUUAACUUCUUGUUACUGUGAUGCACAGGAAAAUGAUGGUAAAAGAUGUUGCAGGCUUUUAGAGAAAAAGACUAUUCUAUUUUGCUCAUAUCUUCUUGGUUCUGGCGGUCAGUAAAGCACACUGCUAGGCAGGAGCCUUAGUGUUUCCAAAAAUUUAUAGCACAUGACUAGUGGUGAAGCCCCUCUGCUGUCUUUCUCUCUUCUGCCUUUGCAAUGAUACUUCUCCUUCCCAUGUUUUCCUCAGGAGCCCUAAGAUUAAAAUGUCUUGAGAUUAUGAAUAUCCUUGUCAGCGAGCAUUUUGCCUCCAGCUGCACUCUAUACUAAGUUAAAUUGCCAAAGAAUAUUAGGUGCAUUUCAGUGAUUCAACAGUAACUUAUACUCGUCAUAAUUAUACUUAUAUUUCACAAAGUUCUUUUCAUUGAACUGACUGGGUAGAAAGGCAUUUUUCUUUCUGCAAUUGUCAGCUGUGUUUCUCAAGUUACCAGUGACUGCUACUGAACCUACUAACACCCCUUCAGCAGGUCACCUGCAAUUGUAACAACUUUUUGCUGUUGAUGACCGUUCAUUUACAAAAAUGUUCAUAGAUAUGGUGAAAUUGAAGAAAAUGAUUUUCUUUUUUAUUAUAAAACAAAAUGCACAACUUUAUUUUGUGAUAUAUAUAAUUAUACACCAUACAAAUACAAAGAACUGUAUUAAAAUGGCAUUAAUAAAGUAUACAACUCAUAAUAUUAUUAUGAAGAUGAGGAAACAGAUUUCAUCAAGCUUCAUUAUCUCCAAAGUCACAUAGCUGUCUUAUGCAAAAUAGCACAUGGGUUCUUGUAAAUGGCUUCUUUCUUUCAUUACACUUAUUCUUUUUAUUUCAUGUGUCUGAUCUAAAGCGAUUUCCUGGUCCCUUUAAUGGUGUUAUUUUUGCAGUUUUACCCAUGAUUAUGAAUAUACUUUGGGGCCUACAAUAUUUGGAAUAGUCUAUGGUAAACAAGCCGUGAGCAUGAACUUGAUGUGCAUUGCCUGUCUUCUGAGAGUGCUCAGGAGUUUCCUCCUCAUCCCAGAGAACCCCACUGUUUGAGAUAGGCACUCAGUUUUAUAAAUUUUUAACUUGUCCUUUAGGACCCAGUUAUCCUUUGUACUCUAACCAAACUACAUGGCCUUUAUGGGAUUUUCUUCUAAUCUGUUUCUCCCAAGUGUGUACCAUGUUUUCAGAUCCCAUGAUUCUUUUAUAGUGGGGUUGCCACAUUCACCAGUGAAAAUACAGGAUACACAGUUAAGUUUAAAAUUCUGAAAUCCAAAAAAUAGCUUUUUAGUAUAAUUAUGCAAUGUUUGCAUUUUUUCAAAUUUAAGCUAUCUUAUUAACCAUAGAUAUGGAAUUUUCCUUAUAAGUGCUACCAAAACAUUAAUGGAAUAUGGUAUUCGAUUUAAAUGUUCGGCCAAAUGUUCGGCCAAGAGUGAUUUGCUGCUUACAAAGAAACACCUACUGUUACUUGCUAAGUAGAAUGAACACUAAGGCAUUAGAGACAAAACUGGAAGAUCACUUACUUUCCAGUAGUUGAUGUCUUGUCAUUUGACUCCAUAAUUUUGGUUUCAUGGUUCUCAAAAUAAACAAGAAAAUGCUUUGGUAAUAAUCAAUAAGGAUGUUUCAGAUGUAUUGAAACCCCCAGCUGCUGUUGCUGUUGGAGAUGCUGGAGGAAUGGGCGGCAUAGCCUGCAAUGCCACAGUUCCCCAGGCCCUGCCAAGGGAGUGGCUUCAUGGGGCACAGAAGCAGCCGCGGUACUGCCCAAGGCACGGGGCACCUGAGAGGGGAACCUUCCUGCUGCCACCUGAAGUCCCAUUGGCCCCUCUGCUGCUGCUGAAAGGUCAAUCAGAGCCACGGGACCUGUGGAUGUGGCUGUUGGCCACUCUGAUUGGUGCCCUUGCCCCCUGUGCCUAGGGCCAGGCCACGUGCCCCUCUUAGAGCUUUAAGCACCACAAUGAGCAGUCACAUAACAGAAUAUGAACAACAUACUGAGGCCCUGACCUCAUAGGACACAUCAUGUUGUAGGAACAGCUGGUACGGACUAAAUGUUUUGCAAAAUCCUUUCAUACUUUCUAUUUAUUAAAUGUUGCAAUGGAGAUUGAGAGUCUAAGAAUUCAUUAAACAAAAAAUAGGGCCUCAUAAUUUGGAGACAAUGGAAAGUUUGUAGGGCUAUGUAACUUUAAACCAUUUAAUUAAAAUUGCUCUAGAAUUAAUGGGGCACAGAACUGUAAGAAGAGUUUAAUGAAAUGGAAAAUGAUGAUCGAGACAAUAAGAAAACACAGUGACUCUGUAACAAGUGGCCUGGGAUGGAGGUGGA